AACCCAGCAGUACGCCUGUAUGUGUGAGAGGGAGGGGAUUAGAGCAAGCAGGAGCAACAGAGAGUCCGAAUGAAAGUAAGAGAGAGAGCAAGAGACAGCAUGUAAGGAACGAUCGUAUGAGGGAUAAAUCUAUAAACUUGUGAAACUCUCCAAAGCUAAAGCUUUCUUAGUUUGCAUGGGAGGAAACCAAGACGUGGAAAUCUAUUUAUGAGAUCAUGGAAAGCACACAGAGCACUGACAACUCUAACUCAACCAUUUACACAGAGCUACAGAUGGUGCUGCUCGGCACAGCAAUGUCCCUGCUGGUCCUAGCCAUUGUUUUUGGCAAUGUUCUAGUGAUCACAGCCAUUGCCCGUUUCCAGAGGCUCCAGAAUGUCACUAACUGCUUCAUCAUGUCGCUAGCCUGUGCUGACCUCGUCAUGGGUCUUGUGGUGGUCCCCUUUGGUGCCAUCCACAUCAUCCUCAGUACUUGGUACUUUGGCAGAUUCUGGUGCGAUUUCUGGACAGCCACUGAUGUGCUCUGCGUAACGGCAAGUAUCGAGACGCUCUGUGUCAUCGCCCUGGACCGCUACCUCGCCAUCACCUCACCUUUCCGCUACCAGUCCAUGCUGACCAAGUGCAAAGCUCGCAUUGUGGUUUUGCUUGUUUGGAUCAUCGGUGGGCUUAUCUCAUACCUGCCAAUCCACUUGAAGUGGUGGAUCUCCAAAGAAGAGGAGGCAGUGCGAUGUAUGAACGACACCACAUGCUGCGAGUUCCAACCCAACCAAACCUAUACGAUCAUCUCCUCCAUCAUUUCCUUCUACAUCCCUCUGGUGAUCAUGGUGUUUGUCUACAGUCGUGUGUUCCAGGAGGCCAGGAAGCAGCUGAAGAAAAUUGACAGGAGCGAGGGUCGUUUCCACCACAACGGAGGUCACCAGGAGGUUAGUAGCACUGGAGGAGGCAGCGAGGUCCGGAUCGUCAAAAAGCCCAGGUUCUGCCUGAAGGAACACAAGGCUCUAAAGACUCUGGGUAUCAUAAUGGGCAUCUUCACACUGUGUUGGCUUCCAUUUUUUGUGCUUAAUGUGGUAGUGAGUAUCCAUAAGGUGGACAACAUCAAUGUACCAUACAGAAUCUUAAACUGGAUUGGGUACGCCAACUCAGCCUUCAAUCCGCUCAUCUACUGCAGAAGUCCAGAGUUCAGAUACGCCUUUAAGGAGAUCCUAUGCAUGAAGAGGGCACGUUAUCCCAACCUUAGGCCAUUCAACGGAUAUAAAUACAGUGGGCACAGCUGGCAGAGUGAGCACCAGGGACGGAGCAAGUGCAGCUCUGAGGACAGUGACCCAGCUGAAGGGGGCUGUGAGAAAGAGGCAUGCAUUUCUGUAGGUAGGACUGAUUCUAAUGGGAACUGUAAUACAAACAUCACAAGUGUACCAUGAGUCACUUCAUAAGCCCCAACACAUUCCACUGUGACUGAUAUGCCAAAGAGAUAAGGCAUAAAAAAAGCUACACUUCACGUCAUUCUGCACAUUGGAGUUAACAAUAAGGGACAGGUGCAGAAUGUCUGCUUACAUUUGAUGUUAUCUAUACUGGGUGAACCUUCCCUUUACAUAACCACCCAUCCAGUUUCAAGGGACCACAAGUGGUUGGAGAAAUCAAUAUAAACUUGUGCAAAGUUGGCAAAGGUUGCAUAUCCAGUCGACCACAGCCUGAAAUCCACAACCCCUAGACAUCACCAGACACUGUCACCUUUGAUAUCUUCCCUUGCUUUGCUCUGCCAGGCCUGUUAUGCAACCAUUAUUUAUUAAUGCUAGUUUUGGGCACUUCUUGCCAUCAGUCUUCAUAGUUCCUUUAGGUUUUAGACAUUUGGUUGGAUCUGAGGAGUUAAGAUGCUUCUGGUUACAUCAGAAUUCAUCCUGCUGCUGCCAUCAGCAGUCACAUCAUCAGUAACUACAAAGAAGCAGGUCCACCAGCAGCUGUACAUGCUCCGUCCACCAUGGCUUACAGAAUGUUCAUGCUUUGGACAAUGAAAAAGUUCCUUUUUCCUUCCAAUUUUCCUCCAUUGCUCAAA